rnacentral:rRNA from 1 species
UACGUAGGGACCAAGCGUUGUCCGGAAUCAUUGGGCGUAAAGCGCGCGUAGGUGGCUUCGUAAGUCCGUUGUGAAAGUCAAAGGCUCAACCUUUGAAAGCCGAUGGAUACUGCGGAGCUAGAGUACGGAAGAGGCGAGUGGAAUUCCAGGUGUAGCGGUGAAAUGCGUAGAUAUCUGGAGGAACACCGGUGGCGAAGGCGGCAUCCUGGACCGGCAUUGACGCUGAGGCGCGAAAGCCAGGGGAGCAAAGCGGG